rnacentral:rRNA from 1 species
GAAUUCCAGGUGUAGCGGUGAAAUGCGUAGAGAUCUGGAGGAAUACCGGUGGCGAAGGCGGCCCCCUGGACGAAGACUGACGCUCAGGUGCGAAAGCGUGGGGAGCAAACAGGAUUAGAUACCCUGAUAGUCCACGCCGUAAACGAUGUCGACUUGGAGGUUGUGCCCUUGAGGCGUGGCUUCCGGAGCUAACGCGUUAAGUCGACCGCCUGGGGAGUACGGCCGCAAGGUUAAAACUCAAAUGAAUUGACGGGGGCCCGCACAAGCGGUGGAGCAUGUGGUUUAAUUCGAUGCAACGCGAAGAACCUUACCUGGUCUUGACAUCCACAGAACUUUCCAGAGAUGGAUUGGUGCCUUCGGGAACUGUGAGACAGGUGCUGCAUGGCUGUCGUCAGCUCGUGUUGUGAAAUGUUGGGUUAAGUCCCGCAACGAGCGCAACCCUUAUCCUUUGUUGCCAGCGGUCCGGCCGGGAACUCAAAGGAGACUGCCAGUGAUAAACUGGAGGAAGGUGGGGAUGACGUCAAGUCAUCAUGGCCCUUACGACCAGGGCUACACACGUGCUACAAUGGCGCAUACAAAGAGAAGCGACCUCGCGAGAGCAAGCGGACCUCAUAAAGUGCGUCGUAGUCCGGAUUGGAGUCUGCAACUCGACUCCAUGAAGUCGGAAUCGCUAGUAAUCGUGGAUCAGAAUGCCACGGUGAAUACGUUCCCGGGCCUUGUACACACCGCCCGUCACACCAUGGGAGUGGGUUGCAAAAGAAGUAGGUAGCUUAACCUUCGGGAGGGCGCUUACCACUUUGUGAUUCAUGACUGGGGUGA